AUACUUACCUGACAGGAGAUCAUCAUGAUCAUAAAGUGGUUCACUCAAGAUGAGUUUCAGUCAUUGCACUCAGACUGCUGCUGAACUUUGAGAAUUCCCCAAAUGUGGGAAUCUCGACUGCAUCAUUUAUAGUAGUGGGGGACUGUGUUCGUGCUCUUCCUUG